CAGGUGCUGCAUGGCUGUCGUCAGCUCGUGUUGUGAAAUGUUGGGUUAAGUCCCGCAACGAGCGCAACCCUUAUCCUUUGUUGCCAGCGAUUAGGUCGGGAACUCAAAGGAGACUGCCAGUGAUAAACUGGAGGAAGGUGGGGAUGACGUCAAGUCAUCAUGGCCCUUACGACCAGGGCUACACACGUGCUACAAUGGCGCAUACAAAGAGAAGCGACCUCGCGAGAGCAAGCGGACCUCAUAAAGUGCGUCGUAGUCCGGAUUGGAGUCUGCAACUCGACUCCAUGAAGUCGGAAUCGCUAGUAAUCGUGGAUCAGAAUGCCACGGUGAAUACGUUCCCGGGCCUUGUACACACCGCCCGUCACACCAUGGGAGUGGGUUGCAAAAGAAGUAGGUAGCUUAACCUUCGGGAGGGCGCUUACCACUUUGUGAUUCAUGACUGGGGUGAAGUCGUAACAAGGUAACCGUAGGGGAACCU
rnacentral:rRNA from 1 species